rnacentral:piRNA from 1 species
UAAACAAGAUUAGCUAUGAUU